GGGGAUGUGGUUCAAGUGGUAGCAUGCUCGCCUAGCAUGCGUGAGGGUUCGAUUCUCAGCACCA
rnacentral:tRNA from 1 species